rfam:Operophtera brumata OBRT01_Sc10828, whole genome shotgun sequence.
UGCAAGGCCCUUUUCAGGGCCACACAUCAAACUGACUCUGAUUUAA